rnacentral:lncRNA from 1 species
CGCACAUGCGCGCGCAUGCGUGCGCAUGCGUGCACACGCACACCCACACAGGCACCCGUGUAAAACUGCCACAGUGAAAGUCAUUUCUCUGUAUAUCAACUAGAAACUCAACAGAAAUUAGAGCAACAGAAUCCCCGCCAAAAUUAUCCCUAACAACGUUUUAUUCCAGGACUGCUAACGGUUUUCCCCGAGUAAUGAGCCACACGAAAGCGUAGGACUAGAGGGAGCCUGUGAAGUCACAAUUACUCCCCCACUGAAAGCCACUUAAAGCUCUCCCUAUUUCUGGUUCUAUAUGAAGUGCUGCCGUGAGCAUCCUUGUGCAUUUGUCUUCGAGUGUGUCCGAGGAGUAGAAUUCAAGGUGUGGCCAAGGCCCUGGAAGAGGAGAUGAGUAAGAUAAUCGGAAUUCAUGAUCAUCAUAAACCACUCCUUUGAAAAACAGAAGACUUAAAGGUGGGAGUAUGGAGUGAUGCUCCCUGGAACAGUGACGUCGACAGGCUUAGAGAAAUGGAAUGGCGCCCUGUCACCAAACUGCCUUCUACUGGGACUCUCUGGUUCACCAUCUCUUGAUCAUCACACUGAGAACCAAACGUACUUAGGGGAACAAACUCAACCCCUAGCAGCCAGUUUAUCCUCAUCGUCUCCUUCUGACAGGCCAUGAGCAGAGACCUUCUUAACUGGAGCGCCUCCUCCGAAGUCGGAUAACUGAGUAACUGGAUUUACGGAUGCUGAAGUGAGAGCCUUCUCUGCUUCCUGCGAUGGCUGUCUUAGGGGAGAGAGCUGAACCCCUUACCAAAAACAACCAACCAAACAUAAAACGUAGAGAAAGGCUUAGUGAUCCUUCUUAGAGAUGAAGGUGGGAUGGCUGUGCACAGUGGCUCUUUUCCCUGGAGGUGCCAAAAAGCUGUAGCUGUGGAUUCAAUGUGGACUCAGUGUGACAGAAACCGGAGCUCCAUAGAACUGUGAGCCAACGGGCCGGGACAGCAAGGGGGUUGGGCACUCAGCCUGGGGAAAUGCUUGCUACUCAGAAAAAGGUAAAACAGCUUCUAGAAUGUUGAACUAGAAUGUUGCUUUCCUGUAGUGUCUAGCAUGGAAUCCCUUGUUUUAUAUUUUCGUAGAUGAGAAUAUCUGGGUUUUUCUGUCUGAAUUUCCUGUGUAAUCCCCACUCCAUCCAGCUUAUCUCCAUUUGGUUAUUUGCCUGUCUACUGUUGGUUGGUAGACAGUCUUUAUGUAUUGUGGCCUUUCUUUUCCUGAGAGUUGUAUAGAAAGGCUUGUUCUCCCCAGACAGAAAGCCCAAAGAGAUGAUUCCAUCCGAGCCCAUCCUGGCGACCUCGUGAGUUUACUGUGAAGAGUGACUUACGGGGGUAGGAAUGACUCAGGCAGCUGCAUCACAAAAAAAUGCUCCCCACACCAGCUCGUGAAAGCUGCACCAUCAGAGCUUCCUGUGUGACGGGCGGGCAGCUACAUCACUGAAAGCUCUCCUCUGGCUCACAGAGCCUGGGAGUCUUAACUGGUUUCCUAACUUCCUGGAUCUUCCUCGUGAGUUUCCCCGAGCUUUGGGACCCAGCCUCCCUCCACAAAGCAACGUUUCAGCCCCUAAGAAGCAGCUACUUAGCACACGGUCUGAAUGACUCAUGGAUGACAUAGGGGGCCUGCAAGAUGGUUCAGGGUAACGGGGUUUGUCCCCAAGUCUGGCCAGCUGAGUUCCUUCCCUGGAACUAGCAGGAGAGAAACAAGUUCCAAAAGUUCAUCUUCAGAACCAUCCCUCCAAGGCCUCUGCAUCAGCUCCUGCUUCCUGACCUGCUUGAGUUCCAGUCCUGACUUCCUUUGGUGAUGAACAGCAAUGUGGAAGUGCGAGCUGAAUAAACCCUUUCCUGCCCAACUUGCUUCUUGGUCCUGAUGUUUGUGCAGGAAUAGAAACCCUGACUAAGACAAAUUAAACACGUUCCAAACGUCCUCUGACCUGCACAUGGACAAUGUGAU